UCACACAGGAGGAAGAACAAAACAAGACGUUAUAUUGGUUAUUAUGGUUACAGGUCUUAAUUACAACGUACAUGUGCACAUGUGUGUCGUUUAACAUAGUAAACGUCCUUAUUAAUUGUUUGUAUGCGGAUACAUUAGUCUGAGUGCACUUUGACGUGCUAGCCUAGCCUGCUGGUUAGCUUAGCUUGUUAGCUGCUAACAAAGAGAGGCGGAAGUGAUCGACACAUCAAAGCAGAGAUCCAAUACGUCUGUGAAGAACAUCUUCACCCUGAGCAACAGAAGUGCAGCUUCAGGAUGCGGACGGAGGAGCCACAGCCCUCCCACAUUAAGAAGGAAGAGGAAUACCUACUGAUGCCCCAUUUUAAAAAGGAAGAGGAGGACCCACUGACACCCCGAUUUAAAGAGGAAUAUGUGGAUCCACUGAGCCCUCACAUUCAAGAGGAAGAGGAAGAGCACAGCAUCAGUCAGCAGAGAGAGCAUCUUGAAGGACUGGAGGAGGUUGAUGUCACCAAGAUGCCAGUGACUGGUGUCCCUGUGAAGAGUGA